CUACGGGCCGCUGCAGUGGGGAAUUUUGCGCAAUGGGGGAAACCCUGACGCAGCAAUACCGCGUGAGUGAAGAAGGCCCUUGGGUCGUAAAGCUCUUUUAUAAGGGAAGAUAGUGACGGUACCUUAUGAAUAAGCACCGGCUAACUCCGUGCCAGCAGCCGCGGUAAUACGGAGGGUGCAAGCGUUGUUCGGAUUCACUGGGCGUAAAGGGCGCGUAGGCGGCAUCAUAAGUUAAGGGUGAAAUCCCGGGGCUCAACCCCGGAACUGCUCUUAAAACUGUGGAGCUAGAGAUAGUCAGAGGCGGGUGGAAUUCCUGGUGUAGAGGUGAAAUGCGUAGAUAUUAGGAGGAACACCGGUGGCGAAGGCGGCCCGCUGGGGCUUAUCUGACGCUAAGGCGCGAAAGCGUGGGGAGCAAACGGGAUUAGAUACCCCAGUAGUC
rnacentral:rRNA from 1 species